CCAGGAUGUUCUUCAAGGGCUCAUGUGUUAAAAGUUUGGUCCCCGCUUGGAGACACGGUGGAAACUUCAGGAGGUGGACCUACUUGAGAGAAGUACUUUUCAUUAUUGGAGACCAGUCAAAUGUUCCAGCCUCUCCUCCAGUUGCGCUCCCAUGUGUGGACAGAUCUGGUGCACGAAAUUGGAAACAAGGACUACCACAGAAAGACUUACAGAGGGAGAGGAGAUUAAUGAACGAUAGCCUGAAGCCAGCGCUCCUGGCAUUUGGGUGCAAAAGAGAUUUGGAGCUCACAGAAGGCUGGCACUUCCCUGGACAGGUGGAACACAAGGGUGUAGCAAGAUGUGAACUCCAGAAAAAGCCAAGGUGCGCCCUCCCAUGAGCCAGUGGCAGCCUUGUGGGUCAGGAGGAGAACCAAGAAGCCAACCCACACCCUCCCGUGAGCCAAUGGCAGCCAUACAGCCUGGAGGGAAACCAAGUUAAAGGAGGAGGAUUUGUUUUGGCUCAUGAUUUUCAUAGGAGUCAGUCUGUGGUGAGUUGCUCAAAGGCAGAAAUGGCAUGAUAGUAGGUAUGACAUGGGAAAACUGCUCACCCCGUGACAGUGAGAAAGCUGGGAAGGACAGAAGUCAGAAAGGAAUGCAUCUUUCCACGCUUCCAGUGACCCGUUCCCUCUGACAAGGCCCCACUUCUGAACACAAGAUUGUUGGGGGAUAUUUUAGAUCUGAACCAUUAUAUUGGCCAUGAACUCGAAGAUAGAGCCCCAGAAAUUAUCUACUCAGAAGAAGAGAGAGAGAAAAUAUUGAAACAAAAUGAACAGUAAUCUGUAGGGAAAAAAUGUAAGGCCAUCUAAUAUAUUCGUAAUUAGAAUCCCCGAGGGAAAAGAGAGAAUAGGCUGGGAAAAAUACACAACACAAAACAGUAAAAACUUCUCAAAAUUUGGUGCAACAGAUUAAUAACUUACAGAUCCAAGAAGCUACUAAGCCCCAAGCAAAGGAAAUUAACAUCUAGGCACAGGAUAAUCAAACUGCUGAAUGUUGUCAAAUCAGCCGGAGAGAAAUGACAUACCACACACAAGGGAACAAUGUCACCAUUAGAGGCUGAAUCCUCGGAAGACCCAGUGGAAGUCAAGAUGUGAUGCAGAAUAUAUUUAAAACUGUUGACACAACAAAACAAAUAAAAAAUUUAUCCACCCAGCAUUGCAUAUCGAGUAAGAAUAUUCUUCAAAAUUGAGAGUAAAAUAAAGUCCUUUUCAUAUAAAUAAAAACAGGAAGAACAUAUCACCAAUAAACCUGCGUUACAACAAAUAGAAUAGGAAUCUUGUCUGACUAAUGGAAAAUAACAGAUAGAGCCUCAGAAAAAACAAGGGAAAAAAUAGAGCCCUGAAUUGACUUACAUUGCAAGUUCUAGCCUGUUUACCUGGAUUUACUGCCUUCCUCCCCUAUGCUCCUGAUCACUUUUUCUCUCUCUGCACCUUAAAUACCUUCCUUAGAAACUUCCUGUGAACUGAGUUCCUGGUGCUCUGAGAAGCCCAUAGGCUUGGGACCACCAGGACCAUACUUAAGUUUCCUGUUUGCCUGUCCAGCAAGUAAUUUGGGAAAGUUCCUGGGGCCCACCGCUAAGGAAACAUUCAACCCAAGCCAAUUAGGCAAACUUUCCAACACAGCAUUUAUAGCCAUGAGAAAUAUUAGAGGAGAAGGGGGAUCUUAUGACCAAAACUCUUCAGUGCACAUGCAAACUGGCUGAAAAGAUCCCAAAGGUGUUGUCCACAGAUGGGAAUCCAAGAGAAAUCACUUCAGUGUAAAAAGCAGCUAUCAGAACGUCUAUUUUUAUGUACUUAUUAACUAAAAUUUUAUUUUGGUGUGUUUAUACCUCAUGUGGUAGUAUAGCAGGGCAUGGAUACAAUGGAUAAAUAAUACAAAGCAUACACAAACAACAAGUUGGGAGAUGGCUGAGUCCAGAGGGAUUGGGACCUGAUGGCAGAAAUCACUUUACACGUUUCAUCUUAGGACUCAUCACUGGUGUAUGCUACGAGAUUUCUGAGGUAGGUCUGUGAAUUAACUGCAUCAGGAUCACCUAGUAAAUUGUUUUAAAACACAGAUUCCCAGGUGUCAAGUCCACAGAUGGGGAGUCAGAAGCUCUGUGCUAGAGAACCAGUUAAAUCUGAGGUUUUUUUUAAACUAGCAGAAAAAAAUUCCACGACCUUUUGUGUAUGGAUGAUCUAGGAGCCAUGGUAAGUGCAUUACAGGGGAACUGACCAUUGCUUGUCAAGCUCCAGAGGAUGCUGGAUAAAGAUUGUGAAUGAGUGGGGGAACCGUUCAGAUGUUUUGCCCAGCAGGGAGAAGGCAGGGAAAGGCACAAUUCAAUGCUCAGUGAGGUUGGGUUCAGCCAUCUGACUAGACCCUUUAGAGAAAGUGAAGCCACCGUUGAUCUUGAAGCUCCUGAGUGUCUCACGGAAGCCAGUGAUGGGCCUAUUCUGCUGGCCGAAGCUCGGUGAACAACUGUUCUCCCCAGGGUUGCUCCAGAUCAUUGCCCCGCCUCCAGCCCUAAUUCAGACCCUCAGCAUCUCGCACCUGUGCUUGACAAGCCAACAGCACGAGGAAAACAAGACUUCCGAGAAACAACAAACAGGUGCAGUCAGGAUCCUAAUUCUAACAAACCAAAUGUUAAAAGUUGUUUUUAAACCAGUCAGCAGACUAUGAAUGUAGACUGAGUGAUGACACAGAAGAGUCCACCUUAAUGUUCUAGGUGUAUAAAUGCCAGUGAGUUACAUAAGAACAGCUCCUUUUUAAAAAUGAAUCCAUGGAAGUAUUUGGAGAUGAAAUGACAUGAUGUCUGGGUGUUUUAAAAAAAUUUAAUAAAAAUAAAGAAAAGACAAAUGACAGGAAGAAAAAAGGGGAAGGGAGGCAGUGUGACAAGAUCUGGGUAAGACUGAAUCUGGUUUCUGGGUUUUAUGAAAGGUUCACUAUACUGUUCUCUUUAUUUUUGUGUAUCUUUGAAAUGUUUAUUUAAAAUGUUUUCGGGGGCCAGGGAUUUAGCUCAGCGGCAUAAGCGCCUGCCUGGCAAGCACUGGGUCAUAAGUUUGACCGCUGGUACAAAAAAAAAUUGUUUUCAUAAAUAACCAAAACAGUAUCUUGUACACAAUGUGCAUUAUGUAAGGAUCAGCAUUGGCUACCACACUUGGGUGGCAAACACAGUCUACCACACGGAGGCCAGCAGGACUCUAAAUACAUACAGAAGAUGAUACCAGAUGGUGGCAGAGGCUGUGAAAAACAAGCUUGAGAUGGAAUGGUCAGAAAAAGAUCAGAAUCAACAAUAUGUGAGCCGGGGCCUGGACAGCAUGCGAAAGAGGCAGCCGUGCAGAGAUUUGUGGGGGCAGAGAGCUCUUGGCAGAGGGAGAGGCAUGUGCAAAGGUCCACCCUGUUCCAAACAGAUGGAAGGCAGCAAAGCUAGGUUCAGGGAGGAAGCGAAGAAGAAGGAGGUGGCUCAGGAAGGUGGGAAGUGGCCAGAUUACUUGGGACCUUUGCAGGCAGCAAGAAAAGAGGUAAUGGCAGGUUAGCAAGGUGGAAUCCUGUGGUGCGCAGGCGCAAAACACUUAGUAAAAUUCUUACCGUGAGAAACUUGAUAGACAGAUCAAACCAAGUAUAGAUCAAUCCUGUAACUAUAAGGGAAAAGAACCACAGUAUUAAUAUCUAUGAACAGCUCCUCCAUUUUUUAUCAAGAUACUAUUAAGAAAUGAGUACAGAUAAUAUCUGAAAGUUUUUCAAAAAAAUUUAAAAAGGGAAUAACAUAGAGAGAACCCAGAUAUUUGUGUUUUCUUAGGUAUAGGAAAACAGAUCCUAGAUCCCAAAUUACAAAAAAAUAAGACUAGAAAGUCUUCAAGCAGUAAAGACUCAUGAAAUUGUGGGCAUAGCUCAGGUGUGCAUGAGUCCUGGGGUCAAACCCCAGCUCCAAAUAAGCAAACAGUAAGUUGUUAUUGAAAAUUCUCUCAUAGAGACUUAGUCCUAUGUCAAAGUCACAUUAAAAAUGUUGUCUUUUGCACCCACCCUGACGCAGAGGGCCCUGAUACAGUGAUUGGGAAGCUAGCUGACAAAGAUACUUGAGGGUGCAAAAGAAAAAUUAAUAAAUAACGAUGAUAAUAAUAGCAGGUUUGACAACUGUGUCUAACAAAGAAACUUAGGCGUGGUUUCUGACAUCAGGAAUGGGCUGGAAGCAAAUAAAGCCAGAAACUGUUUUUGAAAAAAAACUGUAUUAUGAAAACACCAUGAAUGUGCCCUGAAACAGGAUCUGCUAUUGGAACUUGAGUCCACACUCCUCUCUCAAAAGGGCACAGGCGGGCAUCAGCCUGCCUCAGUUGUGGAGCACCAGGGGAGACUCAGCCCCAGGGCCAGUGCCAAUGGCCAGUGUGAUGACAGCCGAGGAAUAAUCUCUCAGGUGUAGAGCCAAGGGCUUGAGAGAACAGUGCUCACCGGAGCUUAGGGUCUAACAGGAGUGUUCUCCACCGCCAGGACAGGAGGUCUUACUCAGCCCUGUGAACUAGAGGGGCGCCUUUGCGUAGAGUUUCUGUCUGCUCCUUCGUCUCAUUGCAGGAAGAAAAUAUUUAUUGUGAACGGGGUUAUAGCAUCGCCCUUCAUGUCUACCAGGAACCUUAGAAUGUGACCUUAUUUGGAAAAGGUGCCUUUGCAGAUGUAAUUUCAAUCAAGGAUUAAGAUGAAAUUAUCUUGAAUUAAGGUGAGCCUUGAAUCCAAUAAUAGUAUCCUCAUAAGACAGAAAAGGACACACAGGGACAAAAGUCAUGUAAUGAUAAGGUAGAGGUGGGAAUUAUGCUGCCACAACCUAAAGAAUGCCAAGAGACACUACAAGUUUGAAGAUUUUUUCCCAAAGCUCCCAGAGUGAGGGUAUAGCUUCCAUGUGGAUUUCUGGCCUCCAUAACUGUGAGAAAAUACAUGUGUGUUGGUUUAAGUUACAUCAGUUAUUUUUGUUUAUGUUUAUGGUGUUUUGUUAAGGUGGCUAUUACAAUUUAGAUCUAAAAUGUCCCCUGAAAUUUUCAUGUGUGUGGAAGGUGGAUCUUGGGGAAACCUCUACUUACCAGUGGAUUCGUCCAUUGAUAAGUUCAGCGGCUGGGCCUGCUGUUAGGAGAUUGUUAGGGAUUAAAAACUGGGGGUCAACUUAACGACAGCAGGAUUAAAUCACCAUGGGGCUGAGCGGAGAUGUUCCACCUGAGGAAAGUUGCCAGCAUAAAUAGAGACAUGGAGAAGACGAGUUAGGCAUUGUGGGUUCUCCUGUGUGUUGCUGUUUGAGCCGUUGGUUCUCCUGGAGGAGCUCGUCAUGACCAGCUUCCCCAGUGCGAGUUUGAUCACUGUCAUCAGAGGAGCUUGGGACUUUGUUGGUGAGAGUGGCUGUGGUUCACUUUGGGGAGCUCUGGCCCUUACAUCGAGCCUUAUUUUCUGGCUCUGGAGGGGAAGACAUGUGCCACUUAAUCUCUAGGACAAACUCAUCAUGCUGGCUUUCUGGCAUGUACUUGACUGUGCUUAUCGUCAGAGGAACUCUGGGCCUCCAUGUUGCUGAGGAUGGCUGUGGUGCUUUUCAGAGCAGCCCUGGUUCUUGUUUUGUGUGUGACUUCUCAGCUCCAGUGUAGAACCCUCAGCCUAACAGCACAGCUCCUUCGCCCCGCUGGCAUAGACUUUCUAGCUUCUGCUGCUGACCUUUGGGCCUUCCCAGCACAGAUCUGUAAAAGACACUGGCAUGAGUCUUUCUCGUGGGCUGUACACCUCCAGUUGGACUUAUGGGAGGCCCUGUCAUGAGCUCCGGGUCUUCAGCUGGACUCCUGCAGGACAUUGCUGUGGGAUUCAGGCCAUUGGCUGAAUAUUCCAGGUCUUUAGCCUUGUGGACAGAUUUCCUGCACUCUCUUGUGUUAACUCAGGGUGACCAUCAUAAAAUAAUAGCAAAAUUCUGUGUCCUGAUGCUAAUUGUUCUCCUCUCAACCCCUGACUACCACAGAGGGGGAGCCUGGUUGGAGGGCGCUCACAGGCGUGUGACCCAGAAGAACGCAUUCUUGUCCCCAGUUUCUUGCCCCCUUCACUCCCGGCUUCCUGGCUGCCACGUGCUGAGCACCUUUCCUCGGCCUUUCCCCCUCUGCCACCAGCCAGCUGACUACGGACUGAAACUGUGAGCCAAACCAACCUCUCCUCCUUUCAACUGUGGCUGUCAGGUAGAGGGACAGGACAAUGACCAGGACAGCUGCCUAAGGAGUAAAUGCAGGGCGUACCUGCCUUUGAAAGCCCUGCCUAAUGCUGAUGCCGAGCGUUCCUGUUUGGGUUUAGUUGUUAGCAGGCAGCUGGUCACAUCUAACUACAGGGAAAAUGUAACUCUGCCUUGUACCAAGAAGGGAGAGAAGAUUAGUCACUGCGCAAAGUGCUCUUACUAAAAUGUUCUGACAAUGCAUAGCAGGACAGUUGCCUCUUUGGUAUAUUGCCCAGGGGGUGGGAGCUAGGAUCAGACAACUGGCUUUUGGCCCACAGGUUUGCUUUUCUAUGAGGACUCGUGACCAGAUUUGAUGGAGAGAGCUACAUGGCACCCAGGGAUCCUGAACUUUAAAAUAUUUGCAAAAGUGGAUGGGAUCUGGCCCCCACCCCACCCCUGCUUUGGAGAUAAGUAUAUUGCGUAUAUAGGAGGAAGAGUAUAAACAUGUAAUGACCAGAAGACAGAUUGUAGCAGAGACUGCUAGCUCUUCACCAAAAACCAAUCUCUCCUUCCUCCCAACACAGGAAGAAUAUAUUUUCCAGCCCUGCCUGUAACCAGAUGUGGCUGAGACUGAGUAUUAUCCAAAGCAGUGGAUGGUGGAUCCUGAGGGUGUAGAGAAAGCCAGCUACAAAACACAGACUCUCACCCUGGACACUUAAACUUCUAUUACAAUCGAGCCGUGUGUAUUUUUAUGCUUUUGUUACAUCAGGGAGCACUGUCCUAUAGAGCCAGUGGAAGAGAUAAGCAUGAGUUUUGUGUAGACAAAAGUUAAAUUUUAGAUGCAUGUUAGACACUGAAAUGUACCCUUCAUGUACAUUUCACUGUACAUGUACAUGUACAUGUACACUGCAAUGGCUUAAACAUAAAAUGUUCCCCCAAAACCUCAUGUCUUUACAGGUGGGGCUUUCACAAAGCAAUUAGAUCCAGGAGGUACUACAGUCAUCAGCAGAUUAACCCAUUGAUGAAUUAUAGCUGAGUGUGCUGUUGUCAGGUAGAGACUUUUUUGGAGGAGGUGUGUCACUGAGAAACAUGACCUGAAAGAACAGAUUCUUCACCCCAUACAUUUUUCUGCUCUCUCUGGAUCUCCCCCUGUCCCUCUGCUUCCAGCCACCAUGAGGUGAAACUUUCCUCUACUGUGUGUCUCUGCCAUGAUGUGGCCUUGAAGUCAGCUGACCAUGGGCUGAACCCUCCAAAACCAUAAGUCAAUAAACCACUCCUUGAAAUUGCAGGUACCUGGUAUUUUGUCCCAGCAAAAGAAAAGCUGAAUCAUAAACUAUGCAGUUGAAUAUGGGACUUGGUGGAACAUGCAGAACAGGAGCUACAAAUUUGGGAGUCACUGGCACAUAAGAAAAGUGACAGAAGCAGAUGAGACAUGGGAGAAGAUGCAGGACAGGCGACCUAACGGGUCAAGGAACCCUUGAGAGGUAAUUUCAUAUGCAAAGUUCUAGCAGAGGAAGUUGAAGGAAUCAUUCAAGGAGACCGAGAAGCAGCUGUCCCUGGUGAUGCGUGCCUGGGAUCCCAGCAAUCAAGAGGCUGAGGCAAGAGAGUUGCUGAGAGUUCUAGGUCAGCUGGGCUACAUCAUGGGUUCAAGGCUAGGCUGAACUACACAGAAGAUCCUGUCUCAAAAAAGCAAAAAACCCCAGACAAACAAAAAGAAGCUGCAGAGUGAUCUGCGGGGAAACUAGGAGAGCAUUGCCAACAGACCCCAGGUACGUAGAAAGCCUCUGGAGAGAAGGCAAGGUGAAGUCAGCAAAGUUGUUAUUGCAGUUUACAAGGUGGAGCCACUGGGGACCUUGACAAGGUGAUUUUAAUGGGGUAAAAGGCCAAAUGUCACUCAAGCUCUUGUAAGUAGAACAGAAAAUGUAUCCAUAGGCAGCUUCCUAUAAAGUUUUGCUAUCCAAAGGAAAAGGGCACUUUGGGUGGCAGCUAAAGGGAUGCAGGAUCAAGGAAACGUUUGCUAAAAUGGAAAAUGUUUAUCGGCUUAUGGGAAUGAUCAGGUAGGUGGGGAUAAAUGGAGGUGGGGAGAAAAGAGAAAAGCAUACCUAAGAACUCAGAAAAACAGGGUAAGAUCCAGGCCCCACCAGGAGGAGUCAGAUUUUGACAGUGGGAUGAGCAUGUCACCUGUCAAUACCAGACAUGGGAGUCCUUCAUCACUGUGGGCCUAGCCCUGCCUGGUUUGUGGUAUCAGGGAUUAAUGAUGCCUCCCAGAGCAGGGCAUGGUUGCAGUAUACCUGUGAUCCCCGCACUCAGGAGGCUGAAGCAGGAGGAUCACCACAAGUCUGAGGUCAGCCUGGGCUACAUAGUGAGUUCGGGGCUAGCGUGAACUGUGUACCAAGACCCUAUCUCAAAAAAGAAAAACCAAAAACAAACAAACAAAAAAAUAUGGCUCCCAUGUUCUGAAAACAGAGAACCAGCCAGGGAAGCAUGAUACGGGAGACUAUCAUUAUGGUGAUUAUGACCCAGGUGGUCCCUUGUAUAUGGAUCGUGGUGCUUCUUUCUUUUAUGAUCCCUGAGACUUCAGAGAAAUCUAAUUUAAAAUUUUCAGCCUGCUGCCAGCUGCCCUGGGGCAAAGGAAAGGAAAGGUCAAGUAGCCAUGCGUGGAAUAAGGGCUUAAGAACAAACUCUGGUCUGCAAAAGAUUUCUGAGAGUCAGUAGUCAUCCAGUGAGGCCUAUGAGGUUCCAUUUGUCACCCCAACCCGCUUUUUAAACACUAUCCAGCAGCGCUCAACCACUGAGCUAUAUUCCUAGCUCUUUUCAUUUUGAGACAAGGUCUCUCUGACUUUCCCUGGCAGGGCUCAAACUUGCAACCCUUCUGCCUCAGUCUCCCUCAGUCCUUCUGGGAUUUGAGGAUGCACCACAGCUGCCAGCUCUGCUGCCAAUUUGCACAUCCUUUCCUUCCUAGGGGGGUGUGUUAGGAAGCAAGACCUUUUCCUCAGGUUGCCCUUAGUCCAGUGAUCACACAUGAAUUUCCCCUUUUGUCCACCUGGUGUCACCAGAAGCUCACUCUACGCCGAAGAUCUCACUGGAGUGGAGGAAAAAAAGUGAAAUGCUUGCUGCUUGUUUUUAAAAAUGCUAACAGGUGACGUGGAGCCAGGGUAGGCUUUUCUCUGAGGAGUUUCACAGUGUCGGAGGGGUCUUUGAAGCCAGCUAGCUGAUUUCCCCUAGGAUGGCUGCAGAUGCCAAAAGACAGAGAUCUGCCACCUUAUGGCCACAUCCACUCAAGCGAUCUGUAGACCCAAGUGCCCAGGGGUGAAACGGAGGCCUUACCCAAAUGAGGGGGGCAGUGGGAGGCUUAGAGCAGCCACCAGGCUCGCUCACCACCUGAAGGACAGACCUCCUUCAAGGUGGAUGACAACUUUGGCACUGUUCCAUCCCGGGCUAGCAGGAAAUUGGGGAUUCCAGGAAGCAUCUUAACGCAGCCUCCUGCCAUCACCCGCAAGCUCUCAGUGACCUGGUGCAAGGCACUCAACUCCCUUUUGCAGCCCUUGGUAGACAAGC